AUGUAUCACGCUUACACUGUGCGGUUCCUGCACGCCGUCCGCACCCACCUGACGACUGCUCGCUACGUUUUGUGAGCC
rnacentral:sRNA from 1 species